CCUGUUUAUCAAAACAUGGCCCUCUGGAGUAAUAAAUAAAGAGGGUCGUGCCUGCCCGGUGGUAUAUACGUGAGUAUCUACUAAACGGCUGCAGUUCAUUACUGUGCAAAGGUAGCGUAGUCAUUUGUCCUUUAAUUGAGGAAGGGUAUGAAUGGUUUGACGAAGGAAAAGCUGUCUCAAAAAUAUUGUUUGAAAUUUUCUUUUAAGUGAAAAGACUUAAAUUUUUAAAUAAGACGAGAAGACCCCGGUGAGCUUGAUGAAACUCCUCUGAGUAGAGGUGUUGAAGUUUUGUUGGGGUAACAGGAAGAGAAAAAAAUUUCAUCUAUAGAAAUGUUGAUCCUUUUUGAGAGAAUAAAGCAAAAGCUACCACGGGGAUAACAGCGCGAUCCCUUUUUAGAGAUCUUAUUGAAGAAGGGGCUUGCGACCUCGAUGUUGGAUUAGAGUUUCGCUUUGGUGCAGAAGCUAAAGUAGAGAGACUGUUCGUCUUUUAAUUCUUUACGUGAUCUGAGUUCAGACC
rnacentral:rRNA from 1 species